AUCCAGUUGAUGAGUCCCAAAUAGGACGAAAUGCGCAUCCUGGAU
rfam:Trichobilharzia regenti genome assembly, scaffold: TRE_scaffold0021010